rnacentral:rRNA from 1 species
GACGAACGCUGGCGGCGUGCCUAAUACAUGCAAGUUGAGCGAUGAAGAUUGGUGCUUGCACCAAUUUGAAGAGCAGCGAACGGGUGAGUAACGCGUGGGGAAUCUGCCUUUGAGCGGGGGACAACAUUUGGAAACGAAUGCUAAUACCGCAUAACAACUUUAAACAUAAGUUUUAAGUUUGAAAGAUGCAAUUGCAUCACUCAAAGAUGAUCCCGCGUUGUAUUAGCUGGUUGGUGAGGUAAAGGCUCACCAAGGCGAUGAUACAUAGCCGACCUGAGAGGGUGAUCGGCCACAUUGGGACUGAGACACGGCCCAAACCCCUACGGGAGGCAGCAGUAGGGAAUCUUCGGCAAUGGACGAAAGUCUGACCGAGCAACGCCGCGUGAGUGAAGAAGGUUUUCGGAUCGUAAAACUCUGUUGGUAGAGAAGAACGUUGGUGAGAGUGGAAAGCUCAUCAAGUGACGGUAACUACCCAGAAAGGGACGGCUAACUACGUG